rnacentral:rRNA from 1 species
AUUGAACGCUGGCGGCAGGCCUAACACAUGCAAGUCGAACGGUAACAGGAAACAGCUUGCUGUUUCGCUGACGAGCGGCGGACGGGUGAGUAAUGUCUGGGAAACUGCCUGAUGGAGGGGGAUAACUACUGGAAACGGUAGCUAAUACCGCAUAACGUCGCAAGACCAAAGAGGGGGACCUUCGGGCCUCUGGCCAUCAGAUGUGCCCAGAUGGGAUUAUCUAGUAGGUGGGGUAACGGCUCACCUAGGCGACGAUCCCUAGCUGGUCUGAGAGGAUGACCAGCCACACUGGAACUGAGACACGGUCCAGACUCCUACGGGAGGCAGCAGUGGGGAAUAUUGCACAAUGGGCGCAAGCCUGAUGCAGCCAUGCCGCGUGUAUGAAGAAGGCCUUCGGGUUGUAAAGUACUUUCAGCGGGGAGGAAGGCGCUGAGGUUAAUAACCUCAGCGAUUGACGUUACCCGCAGAAGAAGCACCGGCUAACUCCGUGCCAGCCGCCGCAGUAA